GCAACUCCCGGAUACUGUGCACCUCUUUCCACUCUCAGAUGCUUCUGAGCAUGCAAAGAAGCUUCCAGAAUCUUCCGCGCCUGCGCCGCAGGCCCCGCCGCGCUUCACUUCUCCUCUACCGUUUCUACACCCGCACGCCGCCUCCGCCUCCGCAUCGUGCCGGCGACAUCGUCCGAUGGAACUCCGCCAUCACCGCGCACCUCCGCGCCGGCAGGGUGGGCGCCGCGCGCCGCGUGUUCGACGAAAUGCCCGAGCGGAACGUGUUCACGUGGAACUGCAUGAUCUCGGGCCUCGUCAGGAACCGGAUGCUCGCCGACGCGCGCAGGGUGUUCGACGCGAUGCCGUUCAGGAACUCCGUCUCGUGGGCCGCGCUGCUGACGGGCUACGCACGGUGCGGGAGGGUCGCCGAUGCCAGGGAGCUGUUCGACCGGAUGCCUGACCGGAACGUGGUUUCAUGGAACGCGAUGAUGUCGGGCUACGUGCGGAACGGGAUGGUCGACAGGGCGCGUGAGCUGUUCGACGUGAUGCCGUCGAGGGAUGACAUUUCGUGGCUGACGAUGAUCUCCGGGUAUAUGAAGAGGAAGCGUGUCCGUGAAGCAAGGGAGCUCUUUGACCAUGCGCCUUCACCAUCAACUUCAGUAUGCAAUGCUUUGCUGUCAGGUUAUGCCGAACAUGGUUUCCUAAAAGAUGCAGAGGAGCUGUUUGGUCGGAUGCAUAGACGGGACCUUGUUUCUUGGAAUGUCAUGAUCACAGGCUAUACGCGGGCUGGGAUGAUGGAGGUUGCACAGAGUCUCUUUGAUGAGAUGCCCGAAAAGGACACGGUAUCUUGGACAACCAUUGUGCGUGGGUAUUUGCAGAAUGGAGAUGUUGAUGCUGCAUGGAAGGUGUUCCAGGACAUGCCUGAUCGUGAUGUCCUUGCUUGGAACACGAUGAUGGGUGGUUUCGUGAUGAGUGAGAGGUUGGAUGAUGCGUUGAGAUUGUUCGCGGACAUGCCUGAUAGGGAUCUGGUAUCAUGGAAUACAAUCUUGCAGGGCUACAUCCAACGAGGGGACAUGGAUAGUGCAAAUACAUGGUUUCGGAGAAUGCCAGAGAAAAGUGAGACAUCAUGGAACACGUUGAUCUCUGGGUACAAAGAUGAAGGAGCACUAAGUUUGCUGUCGGAAAUGACUCGAGGAGGAUACAGACCAGACCAGGCCACGUGGAGUGUUGUUAUUUCUAUCUGUUCCUCUCUUGUUGCUCUUGGAUGUGGAAGAAUGGUGCACGUUUGCACAAUCAAAACUGGUUUUGAGCAUGAUGCUUUGGUGAUGAGCUCAUUGAUAUCUAUGUACUCCAAAUGUGGGCUAAUUAUUGAAGCUUCCCAAGUUUUCCAGCUGAUUUUGCAACGGGAUACAGUGACAUGGAAUGCCAUGAUUGCGACAUAUGCUUAUCACGGUCUGGCUGCUGAAGCUCUUGAACUCUUUGACAGGAUGACCAAAGAUGGAUUUGGCCCAGAUCAUGCAACUUUUCUGAGUGUGUUGUCUGCUUGUGCACACAAAGGCUAUCUAUAUGAAGGUUGGCACUAUUUUAGAAGUAUGCAAGAAGAUUGGAAUUUGAUUCCAAGAUCUGAUCACUAUUCGUGCAUGGUUGAUCUCUUAGGAAGAUCAGGUUUUAUACACCAGGCUUAUGAUUUUACCAGACAAAUUCCUUCUGACCUUCAAAUAAAUGCUUGGGAGACACUGUUUAGCGCAUGCAAUGCUCAUGGGGAUAUCCAGCUUGGAGAACAUAUAGCCAAAAAUGUCCUUCAGUCUAGACCUUCUGAUGGUGGAAUGUAUACACUCUUGUCAAACAUAUAUGCUGCCAAAGAGAUGUGGAGCAGUGCUGCAAGUGUUAGAGGUCUUAUGAAAGAGCGGGGGUUGAAAAAGGAGACUGGGUGUAGUUGGAUUGAGCUGAAGGGGGAUGUUGUUUCCUUCUCAUCGAAUGAUAAUGCACAUCAUCUGAUUGAGCAGAUAUGCCGAGAAGUUGAUACUAUUUCUGUCUUGAUAGAAGAGGCAAGUUGAACUGCGGCAUCCUUUUAUCGAUCAUCCUUUGGUAUAGUUAUCAAAAGGAUUUCAGAUGGUGUCUUCGAGAUCAUUCACAACCUUCAUGGCCUCAAACAUUGAUGUAUGGUAGAAGCCAGGAAUGCCCAAUUGAAAGUCCUUGAAAGAAUUACAGGGUUCUGCCAUGCUGGUCUGCUGGAGCUCAGUUGAUUCUUUUGUGGAGAUUCCUUCAAGAUCGUAAUCAAGAAAUUCAAAUCAACAUAAUGUGACAUCCUUUGAAACCUCGGUGGGUGGCCAUGGCUGAGGAAAUAAGGCAAAGUGAGGGUAGGGGAAAAGUCUACUUAUGAACCAAUAGCAGCAUGUUCACACGAUACAUGUAAUGAUGUAACUGUCAUAACAGACAAGAAAUUCCCCACCACAGCAACUGGUGACCACACAGUUGCAAAUUGGAUAUCUGCUAGAA